CCGGGGAGCCGGGCAGCCGCUGCUUCGACAAGCUCAGCAUGAGCGGGUUGAAGGAGAGGAAAGUCCGGGCUCCGCGAAACAAGGGUGGCGGGUAACGCCCGCCGCACGCAAGUGCAGGGAAAGUGCCACAGAGAGUAUACCGCCGAUGGCGCCUAAAUCGCACAGGCAAGGGUGAAAGGGUGCGGUAAAAGCGCACCGGGGCGCUGGUGACAGGGUCCGCAUGGCAAACCCCACCCGGAGCAAGACCGCAUAGGGGUCUCGCGCCGCCAGGUCUUCGGACAAGGGGGCAGGAGCGUUUCGCUCCGAGAGAUCCGGGUUGGUUGCUGGAGCGUGGGAGCAAUCCCCCGCCUAGAUGAAUGGCUGCCCCCGGCGAUACGGUCCCCUUUGGGAUACCGUCGGCGGGACAGAACCCGGCUUACAGGCUCCCCGGCAAA
rnacentral:RNase_P_RNA from 1 species